CUUGCAACGAUCGCUCACUCACUGGUCGUGAUUCUCACGGGCGAAUAAAAUGCGUCAAAAAGUUGUAUCCCUCUCUAUUAUUCUCUCUCGAGUGAUCACUGAUCACUCAUCACUUUUUAUUCCAAUGCUGAGAGCUCCAGCAUGGCGCCAAGCGAUCCAUCCACACACAUCACACUCGAUGUGGUAUGUGCGAUGGUCGGCGUCGAUGUGACGGCGGGAACAAUGUCGGAUGUACAGCCACAACGAUAACUAUUGCUAGUACCGUUUUGACGCUACCAUCACCACGAUCACCGGGUUUGUCGUUGAUGGUUGGUGACUGAUUGAUUGAUUGAAUUGAUUGAUUGAUG
rnacentral:sRNA from 1 species